GUGCUUCCACAGCCGCCCACCUGCCCAGGUCCACCCGCCGGCUUCAGCUGAGCCCGAGAUGCAAAAACUGAGGCUUGGUGAGGUUGAGAUGCUCGUCCCAGGUCACAUCACCAGGAAAUGGCAGAGCUGAGACUGGAACCCAGGUGUGUGCACCUCACUAUCCACGCUCCUCACCAGCCCUCCAUCCCCUGCAGCACAGGCCGCAGGUUCAAGUCUGGCUAUUCCACUGACCGUUAUGUGACUCUGGGCAAGACCUUUCAUCUCUUUGCAGCCUUGCUUUGUCUCUCCUCCGCUGUAAAAUGAAAAGAUGAUAGCUGGUGGCCUCUGAGGGCCCCUCCAGCUCGGAUGUUCUGAGAUUUCACUUCUGUCCGGAAAGCGUUGCUCUGACCAGCAGAACCAACGAAGCUGUGAAAAUUAAAGGCACAAACGGUGGGGUCACCCUCUGGGGGGCUGCUCUGGGGCAGCCCCUCCCCGCGCCACUCCUCUCAUGCCCAGACAGCCGGCCGCAGCCUGUGCCCUCCAGGAGGGCCGCCCUCCACUCUAGGAACAGCGGCAGAAUCUCUGGGGCUCAGGGCACGGCAGGCGCCUUCCUCUGGUGGCCUUUGAUGUCGGCCUCCAGGGAGACCUCAUGCAAGUUAAGGCCAGAGGAGUCAGACCCCAGAGUCCUGACAUGUAACUGGAAUCUCGAUCCUCGUCACACACUGGCUCUUUCUUGGAUUAACAGCCCAUGAGCAUCCACCCUCCUGAGUGCUGUCUGGGGAAGCAGUCCUCGCUGAGCCCUCGCCAAACGCUAGCUGGGGACGUAACCAGCCCCGUGCCGCAUGCCCUGCCUGUGUCCCCGCAUAGGGACCCAGCCACACCUCCCUCCUGCCUCCUCCCCAGCCCAGACCCGGCCCCAGACUGGCCUGGGGGAGUGGGGGCUCACUCGGGCAUCUGGCCUCUCCUUGAUGUAGGGGUAUCCUUGCCUUAGUGGGUGUGACCGUGGGGCUGAUUGAUGAAUAAGCUAGUGGCUGAGAGCGGGCCCUGUGUGCAAACCCCAGCUGUACCACUCACGCGGCCUCUCUGGGCCGCUGUUUCUCAGCUGUGACCGAGGGUAUAAUGGCCCCAACCCCGCCCUGGAUGUGAGGGUGAGAUGAGGAAAUGUGUGCAUGUGAAGAGCAGGUGCCCCCGACAGCUUGCUGCUGGGGGGUGGCCACACUGGGGGCUCCCUAGCAC
ensembl:lncRNA